GACCGGUGAAGUCAACUAUCAAUCGGAUUUCAGAGACGGAUACGAAGGCGGGGCCUAGCGGGUUCCGUUCGACGCUGGAUAGGCGGAGCUGAAAAGGAGAGGAAGAUGGCGGAGUGAGAAGCUGCGGUUCCCGCUGCGGCCGCGGCUGCGGCUGCCGGGAGCCCGCGGUGGCCGGGGUUGACCAGCCCUGGUCAGCGGCCGGCUAGUCUUGACAGCUCAGGUUCCUUAUCCUAGACACAACAAUUUUCUUGUGGUAUUUAUGUUGUCGUCAUCUUGAAUGGAAAACGGAAUCCAUAGCUCAGGAUUUAGUAGGUUCUUUAGAAGGAAAAAGACAUUCAUUUGAAUCAUUCUAUCCUUCACUGUUUUCUCAGGUGAUCCUGCUUCUUUUAUGUAACUGCAGUCCUUGGUCUUGACAUGUGGAUCUAUCUCCUCUCUACUUAACUCCAUGGACCAGAAUGGAAAAAAUUUCUUCACUUCAUGUUCCACUUCUCAAAUACAGCACAUUUAGCUUGUUAGGUGGCUUCUUCCUUGGUGCCAUUUAGCUGGCAUCAUGCCAAUUCAUCCAGGAAAAAAGAGGCAAUUGAUGUUGGUACUCAGCAGCAGAGAGAAAGGAUUUUUUUUUCAAAUGAAGCAUAAUAUUUAGAUUGCUGUCAGGCGUUUAUAUAAAGCUUUUCAAGAAUACACAGUAAGAAGUCAAAAUGUGUGCUGGGGCUAUUUGUAUCCUGUUUGAACUAGCAUAAAAUUACACAUAUGCAUAAUUACAGCAGAAAAUCUUAUAUUUCAAUACAAGAAAGUACAUUUCAGAUCUGAAUCCUAAUUAAUUCCAUUACACAGAUUUCUUAAUCCAGAACAAAGGGCCAACUUUGUAGAUACUCCUGUGAUGUGGUGGUAAGUAAAGCAGCUUAUGUACAGUACAAUGUCCCUGCAUUUUUUAUGUGUAUGAAGAAAACAUGUUCUUUGAACCAAGAUAUUUCUGCAUGGGUAUAUCCACAUUUAUCAGUGAGAAGAAAGAUUUCUUCCAAGAACAAAGUCUGGCUGCAUUGCCUCUUCCCCUGGUGACACUUGGUUGCUUCAUACCAUUUUAAGAUGUUUUUCCAUUUUCACAAGAAAGGAGCAGGUUGUACAGAAACAGACCUCAUGAAUGCAUUCCUGGGUCCAUUGGAAAACAGUUUUCAUUGACUUUUGACUAAACAAAGAACAAAAAGUUUUGAUGUUAACAAGAAUGGGGGCUCUCUUGUGCAUAUAUAUGGCUUGCUGUCACCUUUUUUCCUUGUGGAGUGUUACGGGACAUUCUGGAGUUGGCUUUUCAUACUUUUGUGCCCAAGAGUGAAGUGGAACAAGGCAUCUGCAUUGGAUACUCAGAAUACCAGAUCAAACCUAUAGUUGGCUAUGAAUAUGGCAGAAUGGAAAAAGAGUGGGAGUAGAAAAGAAAAUUUUUUUCCCCAUACAACUUCAGCCUGAGAGACAAAAAGCAGAAAUACUUUGUGUGGCUUGAUUGGACUGACAUAUUUACAUGACAUUCUGUAUCUUCAUCCCUUGCAGUGUCAUGGGAACAUUAUCCUUCAAUUCAAGAUGGCUAUGAGAGUGAUAUCCAUGGGUGAAACUGAAGCAUCCCACCAGAGAGUGGGCCUCAAUAUAAUGUCCAUCAGCGUUGGCUUGAGGCAAGGUGAACUGAGAUCUGGAAGAAAUUUAGCAAUUACAUUCCAUCCCCCAUCCUCCCUGGCCCCCCCCAAAUUUCACAAAGUAGUUUCAUAUCUAGAUUAGGCAACAAAUAUGGAAUAGCUUGUUUUCCUCUUAAUAAGGGGGAAAAACCCAACACUACCCUUGGGAGCUGAAAUCCUUCCUUGCUCCUGUACCUGAGAUGCACAGCAGAGUUUGGGAUGACAUGUUACUAGUAGAGGAGAACAUCUACCCUCUUUUAUUUGUUAUCUUACAUUACUAGAGAAAUCAAUGUAAAACUUGUCAAAUAUUAAGACCAUACAUUGCAUCUUUGUGUUUCUGGGAAUGUGCACAUCCAGAGCCCUGUUAUGAUGCUGGAGUAAAGAUAAACAGCCUGGAUUUGGACUGCUGUGCCCAAGUAGAAUUUUGUUAAAGACAAGAAUUGCCAAAAUGGAAAGUUAUUCUUUGAUGAAUAGUAGUUCUUAGCCAAUGGGAGUAUCUUUUCGGGGAAAAAAGAUUUAGAUAAAGUAUGAUUUUAAAAGGGUAAUAAUUAAGAUUGGCUAGCAGUAAAGUACACCAUUCUCAAAGUCUUGGUGCAGUUUUAAGUUUUAAUAGCUUAAAGCUCUAAGACUUUUGGGAUACCAUGUAUAAGUUAGUCAUGUCUUUUGAAAGUUGUGUGUUUAUAGUAGUUAGAAAUCUUUUACUUCAGUUAGUCAGACCUCCCAGUCAUUUGUUUGUUUUUUCAUUUGUUACUACUACUCUAAAGAUAAAGACCAGUGUUGUUGGGGAAACUCCUUACUAAAGGGGUCACUACGGGUGCCACCAAGAUGUUGAGAAAGAUUUUAAAUCUUGUUUCUCUGCCA